GACGAACGCUGGCGGCGUGCUUAACACAUGCAAGUCGAACGGAAAGGCCCUGCUUUUGUGGGGUGCUCGAGUGGCGAACGGGUGAGUAACACGUGAGUAACCUGCCCUUGACUUUGGGAUAACUUCAGGAAACUGGGGCUAAUACCGGAUCGGAGCUCCUGCUGCAUGGUGGGGGUUGGAAAGUUUCGGCUGUUGGGGAUGGACUCGCGGCUUAUCAGCUUGUUGGUGGGGUAGUGGCAGACCAAGGCUUUGACGGGUAGCCGGCCUGAGAGGGGGACCGGGGACAAUGGGACUGAGAGACGGACCAGACGCCUACGGGAGGCAGCAGUGGGGAGUAUUGCACAAUGAGCGGAAGCGUGAUGAGGCAACGCUGGGUGCGGGGUGACGGCCUUCGGGGUGUAAACAGCUUUCGCCUGUGACGAAGCGUGAGUGACGGUAAUGGGUAAAGAAGCACCGGCUAACUACGUG
rnacentral:rRNA from 1 species